UACAGAGACCUCAAGCGUUAUCCGGAAUCAUUGGGCGUAAAGCGUACCGAUAGGUGGUUAUACAAGUCAGAAGUGAAAUCUCCGAGCUCAACUCGGAAUCUGUCUUUUGAAACUGUAUGACUAGAGGGGCAAAGAGGAAGCUGGAACGAACGGUGUAGUAGUGAAAUGCGUUGAUAUCGUUCGGAACACCAAUAGCGUAGGCAGGCUUCUGGGUGCCACCUGACACUGCUAGGACGAAAGCGUGGGGAGCGAAGGGG
rnacentral:rRNA from 1 species